GGCCGGUUCCACUCAAAUCAUUUCUCAGCAGGCUGUCCUCAUAAAAAAAGACAUUAGGCCCACUUGAAAGUUUUGUCCUGGCGCGUUUACGAUGGUGCAGAAAGGAGCACAAUAGUCUUUGGAACGGCCUACAGAUGGAGAUAAACGUUGUUCGAAAGCGAAAAAAAAAAGUACGAGUUGGGGGUGGUCGAUUUAGCACACUUUGGUUCAUAGAAAAAAAAACUUGCAGAGCUGGGCUGAUGCCUCAGAAGAUAAAUCUCCUGACACCAAAAUGCCAAUUUCUCUGUAAAUUGUGGUUGAUCAUGUGACAUGAGAGGACUUGGCGAUAAAUAAUAACAAAAAUAUUAAGGAUAUCUUCCAUUUCUAAUUUGCAGAUUUGCUUCGGACAAAGGCGAAGCUGCAAAGCAACCAGUUCAGGGUGUACCCCGCCGACUACCCGAAGACAACUGGGAUAGGCUGCAGGGCUCCUCGCGACCCUUCUGAGGAUCAGCGGAUCAGAAAAUGGAUGGAUGGAUGGAUGGAUGGAGAAAAAUAGCUCAUCUCUGCCCUUCUUAGCUCCUUGCAGAGGAUAAAGAAUACGACUGUGAAAGCAUCCAGGUGAGGAGAAAGCGUGAAGACGCCCCUCUUCAAAGCUCCUUUCAUGUACGCGGAUCCCCGAGCCGCCGCGUCUUUGAAGCGAGCGGCAACAAAGCGGGCGGAGAGGUGUCGCCGUGACAACGGGAGAAGAAUAAGAAGAAGCGCCGAGGCCACAGGGCUCCCCCGUCAUGCUUGCUCGCCGUUUGUUUUCCAGGUAAACACAAGCUGACACGUUUGAGCGCCGAGGC